GAUGAACGCUGGCGGCGUGCCUAAUACAUGCAAGUCGAGCGAACAGACGAGGAGCUUGCUCCUCUGACGUUAGCGGCGGACGGGUGAGUAACACGUGGAUAACCUACCUAUAAGACUGGGAUAACUUCGGGAAACCGGAGCUAAUACCGGAUAAUAUAUUGAACCGCAUGGUUCAAUAGUGAAAGACGGUUUUGCUGUCACUAAUAGAUGGAUCCGCGCCGGAUUAGCUAGUUGGUAAGGUAACGGCUUACCAAGGCAACGAUGCGUAGCCGACCUGAGAGGGUGAUCGGCCACACUGGAACUGAGACACGGUCCAGACUCCUACGGGAGGCAGCAGUAGGGAAUCUUCCGCAAUGGGCGAAAGCUUGACGGAGCAACGCCGCGUGAGUGAUGAAGGUCUUCGGAUCGUAAAACUCUGUUAUUAGGGAAGAACAAAUGUGUAAGUAACUAUGCACGUCUUGACGGUACCUACUCAGAAAGCAACGGCUAACUACGUG
rnacentral:rRNA from 1 species